UCCCGUGUGGCUCAGUUGGUAGAGCAUGGCGUUUGCAACGCCAGGGUUGUGGGUUCGAUUCCCACAGGGGAC
rfam:Salmo salar isolate Sally breed double haploid chromosome ssa09, whole genome shotgun sequence.